AACCAUGGACGGGGGACCAUUCGGCUGGUCUGUCGAUGAAGAGCGUGGCUAUCCGCGUGAACUGAUGCGAAUUGCAGGACUCAGUGGACAUCGACACCUCGAACGCACAUUACGACCCCGGGAUCCCAUCGUCUCGGGGCUCCGUCCGGUCGAGAGGAG
rnacentral:rRNA from 1 species